rnacentral:piRNA from 1 species
UUCCUGCUGUACUUUGGCCUUAAGGCAAACC